rnacentral:rRNA from 1 species
UACGAAGGGGGCUAGCGUUGCUCGGAAUCACUGGGCGUAAAGGGUGCGUAGGCGGGUCUUUAAGUCAGGGGUGAAAUCCUGGAGCUCAACUCCAGAACUGCCUUUGAUACUGAAGAUCUUGAGUUCGGGAGAGGUGAGUGGAACUGCGAGUGUAGAGGUGAAAUUCGUAGAUAUUCGCAAGAACACCAGUGGCGAAGGCGGCUCACUGGCCCGAUACUGACGCUGAGGCACGAAAGCGUGGGGAG